CAUGUGACAGCACAAUGUCAUUCAUCAAACAACAUAAAAGCAGCUGCAGUGAUCCUACAAAUCACAGCUUUGGAGACGGAGUGAAGACAAGCAGAAAACAAUUUGCCUGGCAUCCUGACACAAGUGAUCAACCUGAAAACGACAAGAGAAAAUCAUGGCAACAUUCAGUGCAGUGAUAAACUGUGAAAGUGGGAACUAUGGGCCCUUCGACACGGACCGGACUGUGCUGUACAACAAGGUGAUUACAAGCGACAAAAGCUACAAUCCACUUACAGGUGUCUUUUCUGCACCAACUACAGGUCUUUAUUACUUUACCUUCUGCUACGGUGCUACAGGAUCAUAUAAAGCAAAGCUGACACUGAUGAAGAACAAGGAACAGAUUAUUUCGACAUUUGGUCAUGAAAGUGACUCUAAGGCAGCUAAUAAUGGAGGAAAUGCAGUGUUCCAGGAGCUGACUCAAGGGGACCAGGUGUCUGUGCUCAUGUCUGCGGGUAGCACUGUUAGUGCUUUAGACGGCCUGACCUCCUUCAGUGGUCAUCAGCUUGGAUAAGUUGAAUGAUGCCUCCAGAAAAAUGAUUUGAAAACCUUUGAUUCAACAAUGCAGCUACAAUGAAGUUAAAAUUCAGAUUGAAACAUCAUUUUGCUGUAUUCAAGCACAAUAAAUCAUCACAACAUAAGUCGA